rnacentral:rRNA from 1 species
UACGUAGGGGGCUAGCGUUGUUCGGAAUUACUGGGCGUAAAGGGCGCGUAGGCGGUUUGUUAAGUUGGAUGUGAAAACUGUGGGCUUAACCCAUAGCCUGCAUCCAAAACUAGCAGGCUAGAGUUCUGGAGGGGAUAGCGGAAUUCCUGGUGUAGCGGUGAAAUGCGUAGAUAUCCGGAGGAACACCAGUGGCGAAGGCGGCUUUCUGGACCGACACUGACGCUGAUGCGCGAAAGCUAGGGGAGCAAACGGG